rnacentral:rRNA from 1 species
GACGAACGCUGGCGGCGUGCUUAACACAUGCAAGUCGAACGGAAAGGCCCUGCUUUUGUGGGGUGCUCGAGUGGCGAACGGGUGAGUAACACGUGAGUAACCUGCCCUUGACCUUGGGAUAACUUCAGGAAACUGGGGCUAAUACCGGAUAGGAGCUCCUGCUGCAUGGUGGGGGUUGGAAAGUUUCGGCGGUUGGGGAUGGACUCGCGGCUUAUCAGCUUGUUGGUGGGGUAGUGGCUUACCAAGGCUUUGACGGGUAGCCGGCCUGAGAGGGUGACCGGCCACAUUGGGACUGAGAUACGGCCCAGACUCCUAUGGGAGGCAGCAGUGGGGAAUAUUGCCCAAUGGGCGGAAGCCUGAUGCAGCAACGCCGCGUGCGGGAUGACGGCCUUCGGGUUGUAAACCGCUUUCGCCUGUGACGAAGCGUGAGUGACGGUAAUGGGUAAAGAAGCACCGGCUAACUACGUG